AUUGAACGCUGGCGGCAGGCUUAACACAUGCAAGUCGAGCGGAGAGAGGUAGCUUGCUACUGAUCUUAGCGGCGGACGGGUGAGUAAUGCUUAGGAAUCUGCCUAUUAGUGGGGGACAACAUUUCGAAAGGAAUGCUAAUACCGCAUACGUACUACGGGAGAAAGCAGGGGAUCUUCGGACCUUGCGCUAAUAGAUGAGCCUAAGUCGGAUUAGCUAGUUGGUGGGGUAAAGGCCUACCAAGGCGACGAUCUGUAGCGGGUCUGAGAGGAUGAUCCGCCACACUGGGACUGAGACACGGCCCAGACUCCUACGGGAGGCAGCAGUGGGGAAUAUCGGACAAUGGGCGCAAGCCUGAUCCAGCCAUGCCGCGUGUGUGAAGAAGGCCUUAUGGUUGUAAAGCACUUUAAGCGAGGAGGAGGCUACUUUAGAUAAUACCUAGAGAUAGUGGACGUUACUCGCAGAAUAAGCACCGGCUAACUCUGUGCCAGCCGCCGCAGUAAAAC
rnacentral:rRNA from 1 species